rnacentral:rRNA from 1 species
GUUUCUGGGCAUACCAUCCUUAAUGCACCCGAUCUCAUCUGAUCUUGGAAACUAAGCAAGGUUGGGCCUGCUUAGUACUUGGAUGGGAGAAGUGCACAAGUCAUAAUAGCU